CCUACGGGGGACAGCAGUGGGGAAUAUUGCGCAAUGGGCGAAAGCCUGACUCAGCGACGCCGCGUGAGGGAUGAAGGUCUUCGGAUCGUAAACCUCUGUCAGCAGGGAAGAACGGUCACUGUGCUAAUCAGCAGUGACUUGACGGUACCUGCAAAGGAAGCACCGGCUAACUCCGUGCCAGCAGCCGCGGUAAUACGGAGGGUGCGAGCGUUAAUCGGAAUUACUGGGCGUAAAGCGCUCGUAGGCGGUAUGUCAAGUCAAGGGUGAAAUCCCCGCGCUCAACGUGGGAACUGCCUUUGAAACUGGCAAACUGGAGUGUGUGAGAGGAUAGUGGAAUUCCAGGUGUAGGAGUGAAAUCCGUAGAUAUCUGGAGGAACAUCAGUGGCGAAGGCGACUAUCUGGCACAUAACUGACGCUGAGGAGCGAAAGCGUGGGUAGCAAACAGGAUUAGAUACCCUUGUAGUC
rnacentral:rRNA from 1 species